UGUAGUAAAAUAAGCAGAGCUGUAUUCAUGGUUUCCUCUCCGUAAGAGAAGUGCAUUUAGAUAAGACAAAAGGAUUUUACAGAAAGAAAGAAACAGAAAGAAAGAAGCAAAGGAAGAAAAACGAAGGAAAGAAAAGAGAGGGAGAGAGAAAGAGGCUAUACACAUUUAGCAGGACUUUUCUAAAAGCAUUCCAACAAUCUGAGGAGGAGUUAUCUCAGAUCAGCAUCUUGCAAGAUGUUUUACAAGGACUCAGCUCACUGACCUCUGAUGAAGAGAUGGCUUAACAUGGAAUAUUUUUGCUGUUUUAGAGCAAAAUUCUUUCUUCCUUUAAGACAGUUUUUUUCCUGAUUGAAAUAAUUUUAAAGUCACUUUUCAAAGAGAUUUCAGCACCUCCUUUGCAGGAUAUGUGAAUUUCAAAGAUAUUUCUUUAAUCCUGAAAAUCUUUAAGGCAAAGUGCUGAAUGUUUUUAAAGUUCACUGGAUGUAAACAAACCUCAGAAAAGCAUUAACCCUUUACUUUAAAUUAUAAAUGCUUUUGGGCAACUAAUUUAUCCUUUAAUUUAUUAAGCUUUGAAAAGACAGCUGUUCACGCUAGCUGUUGAAUUUGAAGUUGAUCCUGUGUAAAUUGAACUUCUGGUCAAUGAACAGUUUUUAGGCUUCAGCUGAAUUUUCCCACAGAUUUGACAAGCUGCUGUUGUACAGUUUGCACAUAUAUUUACCAUUUUAGCAUCUGGGUGGAAGAGAGAAAAAGAAGGAAAGACAGAUGACUCAGAAAGAAGGAGGAACAGAGCAGGGGCGCCUUAAAACUGAGGACAGCCUAGGGACCAAAACCAUGGCUGGGGCCCCCAUGGCUGGUGGAGGAGUGGUGGUGGAGGUUCGGGAGAAGAAGGGAACUCUCCGGGCUGCAAUACCCACAAUGCCUUUCCCCGUGGCUGUCAUUUGUCUUUUCCUAAACACCUUCAUACCUGGGCUUGGAACCUUCGUCUCAGCGUUCACCGUGCUGUGCGGCGCACGCAGCGAGCUGAUCUCAGAGAGAGGCGUGUGCUGCGUGUUCUGGCUCAACGUGGCAGCUGCCCUCAUCCAGAUCCUGACAGCCGUCAUAAUGGUUGGAUGGAUCAUGAGCAUCUUCUGGGGAAUGGACAUGGUCAUCCUGGCGAGAGUGACGCCUGAACUGGCUCCAGCACAGAGAAAGAGUCUCUAUCCCCCCCAGUGAGCCGAGGCAGCCUUUGAAUUAGUGCAGAACUGCCUCCUUUGUGAACAUGUUUUCUGACGGCUGUAGAGACCAAGGUAUCCCUCAAGAUGUUUGAGAUAUGUCUCUCUCACAUUCACUGACGGAUCGUAUGAAGCUGGCCCAACAAAACCACGAUGAAGGAAAACUUUUAACGACUUUUAACUUGAUAUUGAGUUGACAACAGCGUAUGGCAGCGACGUGUAAAAAAAAUGAAUGGAUAUGAAUUGACUGAGGCUGGCUGCUGAUUUGGUCGACACCAGACUGCAUUUGUGUUUAUAUUUAAAAAGAAUUUGGACAUUUAAAAAAAAAAAGAUCAUUGUGUUUUAUCUAAGUGAGAAAUGUUUUUCUUGGCUUUUGUUUUUGUCAAAAAGGAAUAACUGCUAGUGCUUCAGCAUUAGCUUGAAAAAAUUGCGAAAAUCCAGUGAAAUUGUAAAUCCAACAACAACAAAACAUUACUUCAUAUGAUCAUACGCUGUUUGUGAAAUUUGACAGGAGGCCAAAUUGUUGUUUCCACUGCUCAACUGGAAGCUGAGCAGCUAUGUGCUACAUUAUCUUUGGUUUCUCUUACGAGGUUUACUCUCCGCUUGUAGAGCUUUAGAUUAGCACAGGCUAGGGCAUUAGCAUCUUCUACAUGUACAUUUUGCAAUAUUUUUAACCUCCCCAUUAAAUUUCACCACUGCUUAAAAAUCUCUUAGUGCUUUUAUUGUUAUCAUGAUUAAAAGAAACAAGCCAUUCAGUGGCAAACUAACAGCCAGUGCUAACUUUGUUAGCACAAGCUAAUGCUAGCACUUCACAGAAAGUGCUAGCAUGGAUUCAGUGCAUUACCAAACAAACACAUCUUUCUCAAAUGUGUUUUUUUAAAUUUAAAACUAUACUCUUUUUUAUUUUAUUUUAAUAAAUUCAUUACAAAAAUGUUUGCUAAGCUGACCUUGGUAGUUCAAAUAUGCUUGUUUAAGUUUUCUUUCCAAAAGGAUUCAUCUUUCCUCAUUAUUUGAUUUGAAUUUUCACACAUCCUAAAUGUGUAAAUCUGUGCCAAUGGGAUUUUACACAUUAUUCAAGCUUCAAAUCUAAUUAGCAAGUCUUAAAAUAGCAGCUCAUUGCGCUUGACGAGGCCACAACCCCGUCUGUCACUUUAAAGAAAAGACUAAGCCUGAGAGAUUGUGGUUGGUUACAGGUCUGCACUGUCAUAAAUACAACACUCCCAAUGUUGGAGACUGAAGGUGGAACGGUAACCACCAAAGGAAUCUGAGAGGGCAUUGGGUUAAAAGUGAGAAAAGUCUAUAAACUAUUCUCAAUCAUCCACCAGAAGGUUCCCUUGGAAUCGUUGCUCUGAACAAGAGCUUUCUCAUGGUCGCCAGAUAGUGGCCUGCGUUGUUGGCUUGUUUCCAGGAACUUUAUCAGAGGUCAAAGAGCAUUCUGAAACCAAAUAGCUUCACCAAACUUGAGCAGUAAAAACUCCAGGGUCCGGAGCCAGAUCAGGGUCAAAAGCUAAUAACGUCUGGAUCUGCCUCAUAUUCAUACUGUCUUGCUUAUUAUUUUUGAGUAAGUGAGCCACUGGGUCACUGUGGCUUGACUGCGAUCAAAAGGAAUGCAACAAAUCAAAACCUCUGUGAGCUUGUUUGCUAAAAAUGUUUUAAAAGUACAUAAAGUGUGCUCAGAGAAGGUCAAGCAUGAGCUGACUCGAGCCAAGUGAAAGUUUGGGUUUUGAGUUUACUUAGCAAAUUUAUUCUAGAUAAUAGCCUGUUUUUCUUUUUAAAUCUAUACACAAGCUGAGAAUAAUGUGAUGCACCGUGGACACAGAUUAUCACAGUUUGCUGCUUUCCAACUCAUAGGAUCUGAUGAAGUUGUAACUACUCCAAUUAACACAUAGUAACAGUGUGAAUGUAUUGAAAUUUGCUAGUGUUUUAUUCAAAAUAUAUUUGUAUACUGAACUCAGAGUUCCUUCAUUUGGUCAAAGCAUAGUGUAAUUUUAAAACUGGCUAAUAAUCCUGGCAUUAACAGAUAUUGCUACAUAGUAUGUUAAGUAGUGGGGUAUUAUGCAGGACAGACAAAACGGCUAUAAAACAUAAUGAUUAAAUUAGUAAUUGUGUCAGCUGCAUCAAACCUAAUGUGAAUAUUUCAGGUUUAGUUCCUGUACAUUUUAUGUGCUGUCUGCAUUUUUAACCAAAUGCCUUUUCAAUUAUACUGCCGUGUUUUGUAUAUAAAACAAAACAAAACCGUGUUUUUAUGUCUUUUUAUGUUGUACAGUGUUUUUAUGCAAGAAAAUGAUAAUGACAAUAACGAUGAAUGAUGUCUGUGAAGGUGAUAUUAUUCUAUGCCUUACAAUUGAUCCAUGUUCUCUUAAGUGAGUGUUACUGACGUGUCUUCAUUUUAUUUAGAUUUAGAAGCAGUUUAAGCAUCCAGAUCAAACAUAACACUGUAAGUAUAUAUUUAGUAACUUCUGGUAUGUGUCAUGGGAGUUCUUGUAUUGUUGUUUAAUAUUGAUGUGCUAGAGUUUUUGGCCAUGUAGUGCUGUGAAAAAGUAUUUGGCUCCCUCUAUCUUUGCUUUUCGGUUACGUUUAAAUAUUUUAGAUGAGCAAAUUUUCUAUUUUUUUUUUUUUUUGUCAGACAAAGCUAACCUGAGUAAUUACAAAAUCUUGUUUUUAAAUUAUUAUUUUGUGUUUCAAUGGAAGAAAGCUACACAAAACAAGCUGUUGGAUUGGACAGCUUUGGUCACUUGGCUCCAUAGAAUAUUUUCUUUAUGAGUGGACUUUUUUUUUUUUUGCCAUCAAAUGAAUGCAUAUAAUGAUGUGUGCUUGCAAAUACAAAUGGAGAUUUCAGAACUUUAAGUCAGAGUUUCAGCUUAUUUCUGUGGCACUAGGAUAAACAUAAGCAGCUUGAGGAAUCAUGCAAUAAAUAGUCACCCUAAUAUUGAACUUUCGUCAUUUGCAGCUCAGUGUGUGUGGACAUUAAUUACUGAAUUAUGCAUGUUUUUUUUUUCUAUUGAAAUCACAAAUGUAUUUGUUUUUCCUGCUCGUAAAUUCAACCGCGGUGGGGACGAGAGCGUUUCUGUUUUUCCUGCAGCAACCAUGUGGUCAGCCUUAGCUUCAUUUGUAUGUCCAGUUUUUUAUGAUUGCAAAUAAAGUGUGAGUUUAUCUCCGACUCAUGAAUAAACCUACA